UACGGGGGGGGCAAGCGUUGUUCGGAAUUACUGGGCGUAAAGGGCUCGUAGGCGGCCAACUAAGUCAGACGUGAAAUCCCUCGGCUUAACCGGGGAACUGCGUCUGAUACUGGAUGGCUUGAAUCCGGGAGAGGGAUGCGGAAUUCCAGGUGUAGCGGUGAAAUGCGUAGAUAUCAGGAGGAACACCUGCGGUGUAGACGGCUUACUGGACGGUAACUGACGCUGAGGCACGAAAGCGUGGGUAGCAAACAGG
rnacentral:rRNA from 1 species